GAGCGAGCGAGGGUUGGGUGAGUAUCGAUCUGAGCGGACCGCAUGGAACAGGGGAUUUGGGAGUGAGGCUCGGUCCGUUAGCCUCUGCUUCCAAGGGAAGGUGGGAGGAGAGAGAGAAUACUGGGCUCGACGCCUCCACCGAGACUCGAACCUACACCACCACAACCACCAUCAUCACCACCAUCACCACCACCACCAUGUCUCCAGUCGAAGAGGCUGCCAAACUGACGGAGAACGCCUAUAAGACGAUCAUGGAGCAAUACAAUCCGUGCUUGAGGAAUUUCGUGGCCAUGGGCAAGUGCUACGAGAAGGCCCUGUCAGGAGUCACCCACGCUGCCAAGGGGUACUUCGACGCGCUCGUCAAGCUGGGAGAGAUCGCGAGCGAGAGCCAGGCGUCCAGGGAGCUCGGUGCGUACGUG